GACGAACGCUGGCGGCGUGCUUAACACAUGCAAGUCGAACGCUGAAGCUCAGCUUUUGUUGGGUGGAUGAGUGGCGAACGGGUGAGUAACACGUGAGUAACCUGCCCCCUUCUUUGGGAUAACGCCCGGAAACGGGUGCUAAUACUGGAUAUUCACUGGUCUUCGCAUGGGGGUUGGUGGAAAGGGGUUUUCUGGUGGGGGAUGGGCUCGCGGCCUAUCAGCUUGUUGGUGGGGUGAUGGCCUACCAAGGCUUUGACGGGUAGCCGGCCUGAGAGGGUGACCGGUCACUUUGGGACUGAGAUUCGGCCCAGACUCCUACGGGAGGCAGCAGUGGGGACUAUUGCCCAAUGGGCGCAAGCCUGAUGCAGCGUCGCCGCGUGAGGGCUGGCGGCCUUCGGGUUGUGAACCUCUUUCGCUCAUGGUCAAGCCGCAACAAUGGUUGUGGUGAGGGUAGUGGGUAAAGAAGCGCCGGCUAACUACGUG
rnacentral:rRNA from 1 species